UGGGGAAUAUUGCACAAUGGGGGAAACCCUGAUGCAGCCAUGCCGCGUGUGUGAAGAAGGCCUUCGGGUUGUAAAGCACUUUCAGCGAGGAGGAAAGGUUGGCGCCUAAUACGUGUCAACUGUGACGUUACUCGCAGAAGAAGCACCGGCUAACUCCGUGCCAGCAGCCGCGGUAAUACGGAGGGUGCAAGCGUUAAUCGGAAUUACUGGGCGUAAAGCGCACGCAGGCGGUUGGAUAAGUUAGAUGUGAAAGCCCCGGGCUCAACCUGGGAAUUGC
rnacentral:rRNA from 1 species